AGUGAACGCUGGCGGUAGGCCUAACACAUGCAAGUCGAACGGCAGCACAGUAAGAGCUUGCUCUUACGGGUGGCGAGUGGCGGACGGGUGAGGCAUACAUCGGAAUCUACUUUUUCGUGGGGGAUAACGUAGGGAAACUUACGCUAAUACCGCAUACGACCUACGGGUGAAAGCAGGGGAUCUUCGGACCUUGCGCGAUUGAAUGAGCCGAUGUCGGAUUAGCUAGUUGGCGGGGUAAAGGCCCACCAAGGCGACGAUCCGUAGCUGGUCUGAGAGGAUGAUCAGCCACACUGGAACUGAGACACGGUCCAGACUCCUACGGGAGGCAGCAGUGGGGAAUAUUGGACAAUGGGCGCAAGCCUGAUCCAGCCAUACCGCGUGGGUGAAGAAGGCCUUCGGGUUGUAAAGCCCUUUUGUUGGGAAAGAAAAGCAGCAGGUUAAUACCCCGCUGUUCUGACGGUACCCAAAGAAUAAGCACCGGCUAACCUCGUG
rnacentral:rRNA from 1 species